AACCUUCUAUUUUCGUCACUCUCUUAUCUUCUCACUCUUUUCCCAUCAAACCCUAAUAUCGCCGCCACCACCUUUUUCCCUCGUCUCUGUUUCUCCUUCCCCUGCUACUCCUUUCUCCGUUUAUAACUUCAAUCACAUCUUUCUCCGUUUCAGUUUGAUAUAUUUUCUGAAAAAAUGUUUGAUGAAUAAUUAUAGUUUGUCUCUUCUUUCAGAACACAACUUACCAAGGCAUAUAGACUGCUAAUGUUCUUUUUGAAGUUUUAAAGGCUGUUAAGAUGACCCAAUCUAUGGAAGUUGAUCGAGAGACUUUGGAGACACGAGAUAAAAUUGGUGAAAAGACGGAGAUCAUAGUCCCUUUCAAUGUUCUUCCACUCGAUCCUGAUAGUGCAAAUCAAGUGAUAAUGAGAUUUCCCGAGAUCCAAGCUGCUGUAUUUGCUCUUCAUAACACUAGGGGUAUCUAUACACAUGGAUGACAACUCCAAUCCUAUAGAAGAUUUUAAACAUCUUCAAAUGUAUCUGAGAGGAAAGUUAAGGUUAUCUUGCUUCAAUACUACAUAUAGCCUUAUUCAAGUUGAAUCAUGCAGGAAAAGUAAAGAGCCCCGCAGAAGUAGAGAAGUAAUAGGUGUAUUUACUCUGAAUGAUGUUCUUAGCAAAAUUGCUUAAUGUGAAUGUUUUCUUGCUUUCUUGUGUAAGCUUUUGUCUAUGGUUUUUCAAAGACAUUUUAUGUUUAAUAACUACUAUUUGAAGAAAAUCAAAUGAGAAAAAUUGCUAUAAGCAAAGCAGGAAAUUAUCAUUUGUUA